GGGCGGUUAGCUCAGCGGGAGAGCAUUACCUUCACACGGUAGGGGUCGCAGGUUCGAAUCCUGUACCGCCCACCA
rnacentral:tRNA from 1 species